UCAUCCUCAUCAGUAUCCCCACUCAAGAAAGGGCAUCACUCCCAUAGGAGAUUUCCAGACCAACCGUCCUAAGGUCCAAGGUUACUGCUAAGAAGGCAGUUGUGUACAAGGCUUGCCUGACUGACAUCUUUGGUUUGAAGAGGUGGAUUGCUGACCAGAGCUCUAACAUCGGGCCGAUCUUGAGCCAGCUUUGGCCUUCUCUGCACGCCUAAACCAUUUAUCAAAAUGUUUAUCACCAUUCUCCAUGGAGAUCAUGAAAAGACCUUAUUUAAUUCUCACUGCAAAGUAGAGGCGCUAUUGAGCAGUAUUAAGCAGUGCUGUGGCUGUGAGCCUGAAGAGAUGAUUGAACUGGCAGACGAGAGUGGUCAGUUGAAAAACCUUCUCCAGUACCCUCAACUCUAUGCAUCUGAACUGCUGAAGCCCCGAGAAACCUAUAUCCCUUUCUCUGUAAAACGACCUGAAGGUUCAUCAGAGCCAGUCUUUGUGGCUCUACUAAAAGAUGAAGUUAUUGACUCUAAAUUACUAGGAAGAGCCUGGAGGGAAAUACCUUGCAGCUUCCUUGUUUGGACUCUCACAAGCUGCCCUGCAAUCUCACCGUGUGUCUGCACAGUGGGGAAGAGGGAGAACAGUCAACAGGAAGUCCUUUGGAGCCCAGUGUUGUGGUACAACCUGGCGAUCAGCCGCAUUCCUUCCUUCCCGAUGUCAUUAACAAUAAUAAUAUUUAACAGCUAGGUAACACUGUAGCACCGGAGUGUUGUCAAGGCAUGAACUAAUUCAGCUGCCUAGCCAGCCUCUCCUUGAAAGCUUGUCUCUGCAAGGUUGAAGCUAAUAAAGAGCUUUUUCACAGUGAAAAUAGCA
rnacentral:lncRNA from 1 species